GGUUGUGUAGUGUAGUGGUUAUCACUUUGGAUUUUGACCUGAGUCAAACUUUCCAAUAACCCCGGUUCGAACCCGGGCACGACCU